rnacentral:rRNA from 1 species
UACGAAGGGGGCUAGCGUUGCUCGGAAUCACUGGGCGUAAAGCGCACGUAGGCGGGCUCUUAAGUCGGUGGUGAAAUCCUGGAGCUCAACUCCAGAACUGCCUCCGAUACUGAGAGUCUUCGAGUUCGGGAGAGGUGAGUGGAACUGCGAGUGUAGAGGUGAAAUUCGUAGAUAUUCGCAAGAACACCAGUGGCGAAGGCGGCUCACUGGCCCGAUACUGACGCUGAGGCACGAAAGCGUGGGGAGCAAACAGGG